rnacentral:rRNA from 1 species
AUGAAGUCUCCGACGCGAUCGAGUGAUCGUACUCCCUUCAAAGACAUGUCGAACUCUACGAACCAAAGUGUCAUCGAUAUUAAUAAUGGAGGGGAACCUAUAGAUGUGAAAGAGCGCAAGCGGCAACGUGCUAGGGAACGAUAUGCGCAGAUGGAUGCAGAUAAAAAAGAUGAGCUACUUAAAAAGCGUCGUGAAGCCUAUCAACAAAAGAAAGCUCGACUAUUGGUUCAUUCCCAAGAGACAGAAUCAAGUCAAGAUACGUCAGUUGUUAAAGAACAAGAAGACACUUCUUGCAACAAGGAAAAUAUGGUUCCUCUUGAAGAUAAUGAGGGCUAUGGUCGCUUCUGCGCCACUCACGCACAGUCAUGA